GAUGCCUGUACCCGAAACCGACACAGGUAGGUAGGUAGAGUAUACCAAGGGGCGCGAGACAGCUCUCUCUAAGGAACUCGGCAAAAUUACCUCGUAACUUCGGAAGAAGAGGUACCCCUUCACGGGGGUUGCAAUAGAUUGACCCUGGCGACUGUUUACCAAAAACACAGGUCUCCGCUAAUUCGUAAGAAAAAGUAUGGGGGCUGACGCCUGCCCAGUGCCGGAAGGUUAAAGAAGUUGGUUAGUCCUUGGACAAAGCUAGCGACUGAAGCCCCGGUGAACGGCGGCCGUAACAAUAACGGUCCUAAGGUAGCGAAAUUCCUUGUCGGGUAAGUUCCGACCCGCACGAAAGGCGUAACGAUCAGGGUACUGUCUCGGAGAGAGGCUCGGCGAAAUAGACAUGUCUGUGAAGAUGCGGACUACCUGCACCUGGACAGAAAGACCCUAUGAAGCUUUACUGUAUCUUGGAAUUGGGUUUGGUCUUUGCAUGCGCAGGAUAGGUGGGAGGCUUUGAAGAUGAUCUUGCGGGGUCGUUGGAGCCACUGGUGAGAUACCACCCUUGCAAUGAUAAAAUCCUAACUUUGAACCGUUAUCCGGUCAAAGAACAGUUUCAGGUGGGCAGUUUGACUGGGGCGGUCGCCUCCUAAAAGGUAACGGAGGCGUGCAAAGGUUCCCUCAGGCUGGUUGGACAUCAGUCGUAGAGUGUAAAGGCAUAAGGGAGCUUGACUGCGAGACCAACAAGUCGAGCAGAGACGAAAGUCGGCCUUAGUGAUCCGGCGCUUCCGAGUGGAAGGGGCGUCGCUCAACGGAUAAAAGUUACUCUAAGGAUAACAGGCUGAUCUCCCCCAAGAGUUCACAUCGACGGGGAGGUUUGGCACCUCGAUGUCGGCUCAUCGCAUCCUGGGGCGGUAGUACGUCCCAAGGGUUGGGCUGUUCGCCCAUGAAAGCGGUACGCGAGCUGGGUUCAGAACGUCGUGAGACAGUUCGGUCCAUACCCGGUGCAGGCGUUAGAGUAUUGCGAAGACUCCUCCUUAGUACGAGAGGACCGGGGGGAAUGCACCGCUGGUGUACCAGUUAUCGUGCCAACGGUAAACGCUGGGUAGCCAAGUGCAGUUUGGAUAACUGCUGAAAGCAUCUAAGUAGGAAGCCAGCUUCAAGAUGAGUACUCUCACCGCUUCAGGCGGGUAAGAUCACGGCAAGAACAGCCGUUUGAUAGGCAUCAAGUGUAAGUGC
rnacentral:rRNA from 1 species